UUCUCUAUAUGCAUCACAUCAACAUUAUUUCGAAGGAGAUUACUGUCCCAAUAUGGUAAUGUGAAUAAGCUACUUUUUCCUUUGUAAGUUUUUGAGGUACUAAAAUAUCCACAUGCAGCUAUAUCAUCUAAUACAGAGCGACCAUAAUAGGUUAUAGGCUCUGUUCUAUUCUCAGUUGUUCCAUCAAAAGCAGAAGCAACAUUACGAAAUUCAUGAUCAGGUGGC
rnacentral:lncRNA from 1 species